rnacentral:rRNA from 1 species
AUUGAACGCUGGCGGCAGGCCUAACACAUGCAAGUCGAGCGCGAAAGAUCUUCGGAUCGAGUAGAGCGGCGGACGGGUGAGUAACGCGUGGGAAUCUACCCAGUAGCGGGGGAUAACAUGGAGAAAUCCAUGCUAAUACCGCAUACGCCCUACGGGGGAAAGGAGGGGAUCUUCGGACCUUUCACUAUUGGAGGAGCCCGCGUGAGAUUAGAUAGUUGGUGGGGUAAUGGCCUACCAAGUCGACGAUCUCUAGCUGGUCUGAGAGGAGAUCAGCCACAC